ACAAUUGUAGUUAGAACUAUACCUUUAUGUAUGUAAGCGUAUUACCGGUGGAGUUCUUAUAUUUAAUUAAAUACUUGUAUUUUUUUAUAUAUUCCUCCUAUUUAAAAACGUGCAUUAGUGCUCUUCAUCGAGUGUUAUUGUGGGCCGGUACAGUUACUUUGAACAAAUUAGAGUGCUUAAAGCUGGCUUCAAAUGCCUGAAUAUUCUGUGCAUGGGAUAAUGAAAUAAGACCUCUGUUCUGCUUUCAUUGGUUUUCAGAUCAAGAGGUAAUGAUUAAUAGAAGCAGUUUGGGGGCAUUAGUAUUAUGACGCGAGAGGUGAAAUUCUUGGACCGUCGUAAGACAAACUUAAGAGAAAGCAUUUGCCAAAGAUGUUUUCAUUAAUCAAGAAAGAAAGUUAGAGGUUUGAAGGCGAUCAGAUACCGCCCUAUUUCUAUACACAGU
rnacentral:ncRNA from 1 species